GGGGGAUAUUGCGCAAUGGAGGAAACUCUGACGCAGCAACGCCGCGUGAAGGAAGAAGGCCUUCGGGUUGUAAACUUUUGUCUUUGGGGAAGAUAAUGACGGUACCCAAGGAGGAAGCCACGGCUAACUACGUGCCAGCAGCCGCGGUAAUACGUAGGUGGCGAGCGUUGUCCGGAAUUACUGGGUGUAAAGGGUGCGUAGGCGGGUAAUCAAGUCAGAUGUGAAAUACCGAGGCUCAACUUCGGGGCUGCAUUUGAAACUGAAUAUCUUGAGUGAAGUAGAGGCAAGCGGAAUUCCCAGUGUAGCGGUGAAAUGCGUAGAUAUUGGGAGGAACACCAGUGGCGAAGGCGGCUUGCUGGGCUUUAACUGACGCUGAGGCACGAAAGCAUGGGGAGCAAAC
rnacentral:rRNA from 1 species